CAGUAGCCACGGUAAAACGGAGGGGGCUAGCGUUGUUCGGAAUUACUGGGCGUAAAGCGCACGUAGGCGGCUUUGUAAGUUAGAGGUGAAAGCCCGGAGCUCAACUCCGGAAUUGCCUUUAAGACUGCAGAGCUAGCAGGUGAGAGAGGUGAGUGGAAUUCCGAGUGUAGAGGUGAAAUUCGUAGAUAUUCGGAAGAACACCAGUGGCGAAGGCGGCCCGCUGGACAUGUAUUGACGCUGAGGUGCGAAAGCGUGGGGAGCAAACAGGAUUAGAUACCCCUGUAGUCCCUGUCUCUUAUAC
rnacentral:rRNA from 1 species